CUAUUGAUUGAUGUUAUACCCUGGGUGAAAGGCUAGUUCUGGUUCACCUCUUGAUUGAUGUUAUACCCUGGGAUGAAAGGCUAGUUAUGUUAUACCCUGGGAUGAAAGGCUAGUUCUGAUAUAUCCUGGGAUGAAAGGCUAGUUCUGUUAUACCCUGGGAUGAAAGACUAGUUCUGAUAUAUCCUGGGAUGAAAGGCUAGUUCUGUUAUACCCUGGGAUGAAAGGCUAGUUCUGAUAUACCCUGGGAUGAAAGGCUAGUUCUGGUUCACCUGUUGAUUGAUGUUAUACCCUGGGAUGAAAGGCUAGUUCUGAUAUACCCUGGGAUGAAAGGUUAGUUCUGGUUCACCUAUUGAUUGAUGUUAUACCCUGGGUGAAAGGCUAGUUCUGGUUCACCUCUUGAUUGAUGUUAUACCCUGGGAUGAAAGGCUAGUUAUGUUAUACCCUGGGAUGAAAGGCUAGUUCUGAUAUAUCCUGGGAUGAAAGGUUAGUUCUGGUUCACCUGUUGAUUGAUGAUAUACCCUGGGAUGAAAGGCUAGUUCUGGUUCACCUGUUGAUUGAUGAUAUAUCCUGGGAUGAAAGGUUAGUGCUGGUUCACCUGUUGAUUGAUGAUAUACCCUGGGAUGAAAGGCUAGUUCUGUUAUACCCUGGGAUGAAAGGCUAGUUCUGUUAUACCCUGGGAUGAAAGACUAGUUCUGAUAUAUCCUGGGAUGAAAGGCUAGUUCUGUUAUACCCUGGGAUGAAAGGCUAGUUCUGGUUCACCUGUUGAUUGAUGUUAUACCCUGGGAUGAAAGGCUAGUUCUGUUAUACCCUGGGAUGAAAGGCUAGUUCUGUUAUACCCUGGGAUGAAAGGCUAGUUCUGAUAUACCCUGGGAUGAAAGGCUAGUUCUGAUAUACCCUGGGAUGAAAGGCUAGUUCUGUUAUACCCUGGGAUGAAAGGCUAGUUCUGGUAUACCCUGGGAUGAAAGGCUAGUUCUGUUAUACCCUGGGAUGAAAGGCUAGUUCUGGUUCACCUGUUGAUUGAUGUUAUACCCUGGGAUGAAAGGCUAGUUCUGGUUCACCUGUUGAUUGAUGAUAUACCCUGAGAUGAAAGGCUAGUUCUGGUUCACCUGUUGAUUGAUGAUAUACCCUGGGAUGAAAGACUAGUUCUGGUUCACCUGUUGAUUGAUGUUAUACCCUGGGAUGAAAGGCUAGUUCUGUUAUACCCUGGGAUGAAAGGCUAGUUCUGAUAUACCCUGGGAUGAAAGGCUAGUUCUGGUUCACCUGUUGAUUGAUGUUAUACCCUGGGAUGAAAGACUAGUUCUGUUAUACCCUGGGAUGAAAGGCUAGUUCUGUUAUACCCUGGGAUGAAAGGCUAGUUCUGGUUCACCUGUUGAUUGAUGUUAUACCCUGGGAUGAAAGACUAGUUCUGUUAUACCCUGGGAUGAAAGGCUAGUUCUGUUAUACCCUGGGAUGAAAGGCUAGUUCUGGUUCACCUGUUGAUUGAUGUUAUACCCUGGGAUGAAAGACUAGUUCUGUUAUACCCUGGGAUGAAAGGCUAGUUCUGUUAUACCCUGGGAUGAAAGGCUAGUUCUGGUUCACCUGUUGAUUGAUGUUAUACCCUGGGAUGAAAGACUAGUUCUGUUAUACCCUGGGAUGAAAGGCUAGUUCUGUUAUACCCUGGGAUGAAAGGCUAGUUCUGGUUCACCUGUUGAUUGAUGUUAUACCCUGGGAUGAAAGACUAGUUCUGUUAUACCCUGGGAUGAAAGGCUAGUUCUGUUAUACCCUGGGGUGAAAGACUAGUUCUGAAUCAGUCAGGAUACUCUUCAAAAAAGGUCCAAAGCAACAUGUUUAUUUUUCAGCAUUCUGGUACGACUCUUUUUUACAGUGUCUUCACAUAACGUCUGUUCUGUGGUCAGAUUCCUCCAUCUUGUUUUACUGUGGUGGUGUUGUAGUUUUGUUCUGUGUCUCGGUCUGUUGCCACUUCCUGUAGCCGUUCAGGUCUGACUGAGGGUGUAUCCCAAAUAGCAACCUAUUCAUUAUGUAGGGGAUUACUGUUGACCAGAGACCUAUGGCCAAAACGAGUGCACUAUAUAUAUAUAUAUAUAUAUAUAUAGGGAAUAAGGUGCUAUUUGUGACGUGAGCCUGACUCCAGGUCAGUUCCCUGACAGGUCAGAGCCAGUGGGUCUGAGGUCCUGUCCUCCUGAUCGUAGAAGAUCUGUCCUCCCAGCUGAGUGACUCGGGGCUGUAGAACGGAGAGAGGAGAACGGUACCCACCGAGAGAAGAAGAGAGAGAGAGGCUACUUUCACCUACAGAGUUUCAAAUAAAAAAAUUUAAAAUGUUUCUUGUUCAUAUACAUUUAUUUUUAUUUUUUAAAGAUGGCAUUAAGAAGAAAGGAAAACCUCUGAAUGUACAUUGUCUGUCUGUAAAUAUUUGCACCAGUGGUGCUCUCUGUUUCUAGUAUUGUGUAGGAGAAAGCAGAGGAAGACUGUGAUAACGUUGUGCAUGUAGAAAGCAGCAGGGAAUCAACAUACAAAUGACAACAACGAAAUGACUUUCCACUCGUUGAAUCUGGAGCCUGAAUGUCUUCGUCACCUGUCAUCUCUCUUCAUCCUAACACGUUCUAACUUUUAAUAAACAUGUGUUGGCUUUUGUAUCCAGAA